GACGAACGCUGGCGGCGUGCCUAAUACAUGCAAGUUGAGCGCUGAAGGUUGGUACUUGUCCCAACUGGAUGAGCAGCGAACGGGUGAGUAACGCGUGGGGAAUCUGCCUUUGAGCGGGGGACAACAUUUGGAAACGAAUGCUAAUACCGCAUAAAAACUUUAAACACAAGUUUUAAGUUUGAAAGAUGCAAUUGCAUCACUCAAAGAUGAUCCCGCGUUGUAUUAGCUAGUUGGUGAGGUAAAGGCUCACCAAGGCGAUGAUACAUAGCCGACCUGAGAGGGUGAUCGGCCACAUUGGGACUGAGACACGGCCCAAACUACUACGGGAGGCAGCAGUAGGGAAUCUUCGGCAAUGGACGAAAGUCUGACCGAGCAACGCCGCGUGAGUGAAGAAGGUUUUCGGAUCGUAAAACUCUGUUGGUAGAGAAGAACGUUGGUGAGAGUGGAAAGCUCAUCAAGUGACGGUAACUACCCAGAAAGGGACGGCUAACUACGUG
rnacentral:rRNA from 1 species